rnacentral:rRNA from 1 species
AUAUUUCACAAUGGGCGAAAGCCUGAUGCAGCAACGCCGCGUGAGCGACGAAGGCUUUCGGGUCGUAAAGUUCUGUCCUAUGGGAAGAUAUUUACGGUACCUUAGGAGGACACCCCGGCUAUCUACGUGCCAGCAGCCGCGGUAAUACGUAGGGGGCAAGCGUUAUCCGGAAUCAUUGGGCGUAAAGGGUGCGUAGGCGGCCCUAUAGGUCAGAGGUCAAAGGCUACGGCUCAACCGUAGUAAGCCUUUGAAACUGUAGGGCUUGAGUGCAGGAGAGGAGAGUGGAAUUCCUAGUGUAGCGGUGAAAUGCGUAGAUAUUAGGAGGAACACCAGUGGCGAAGGCGACUCUCUGGACUGCAACUGACGCUGAGGCACGAAAGCGUGGGGAGCGAACAGG